UUCAUCCUCUUCUUCUUCUUCUUCUCUCUCUCUUUUUAGUUUGGUUCAUUUGUAAGUGAAGUUUGGGGCUAAAUUAAAGGAGGAAGCAUUUAGGUGAUAUGGUGUUGACAGAAGAUAGAGAGCACAGAUGAUGAUAUGCAAAUUUCUGUAUCUCACUCCAUUUGUGCUCUCUAUGCUUCUGUCAUCACCCUCUUCACCCUCCUUUAACAUCCCAUCUUCACUUUAGUGUUUUGUGUUUGAUUCUAUGUGAAAGGAUUUUAAACCUCUCAAGCAUUGUCUCUAUGAUUCUUUGUAUAUAUUCAUGAGCCAUUAGUUGAGUUUGUAGCCCUAAAUAGUGUGUUGAUUUGUAUUGCAGUCCAAAUUGGGCAAGGGGAUGAAGAGAAUCGAGACAUAUAAUGUAACGAUCUGAAGCCACCGCUAGUAGAUAUUGUUUAUUAUGAGUUGUUAUGUAUCGCGUCAGCCUGCCUUUACUAAAGAGAGGUUUCCACCCACUUGUAAGGAAUGCUUCGUUCCCCUCUCCGAUCUCACAUAUAAGAAUCGACCCGUUGGAUAGAUUUUCAAAAAAAGUAACCUUUUGGGUACGUUCGGCAAAUUAAGAAAGUUCCAUGAAUACACUUGGAAAUGAUGAAGAAGGAGAAGAUGAUAUGCCAAAUGAUAUUAAGAGAGUGAAGUGAGUAUUCCUCAAAGGGGGAAAUGAGGCAUGCACUGCCCACUUGCUUGAUUGAUUUGUGGUGCCAAAAUUGAUUCAUAUAAUGUUGUUAUUCAUAUUAUACAAUUGAUUUUGUAAUAAUAAGGCCUUUCAUGUUAACAUGGAGGGAGCUUUCUCUAAAAUUAUUAGGGUUUUGUUCAUUACACAAAAUAGUGAAACAUUUGGAGCUUUAAACCACAAAGUUUCAUGAGGAUUCACAAGCUUUGGUUGGGUUCAUAAGGGGUUAAUGAGACACUGACAGCCAUUGUCUUUUUGAACCAAAUGAAAAGAAACACACAAAAGAGGAAAGAUUCCACGUGCCCCUUUACCCUUGUGGUCUCCCCUUCCAUCCACUCACACCCCUGCUACCUCUCGUAACAGCUCAAGCUCACAGCUCACACCGCUGCUACCUCUAGUAACAACCGAAGCUUACACUGUUAUUAGAUAUUGUUUGCUUCGACCCAUUUCACUGUAACAGUUCAAGCUCACUACUAGUGAAUAUUGUAACAGCUCGUAGAUACUGCUCUAAUAGUCCAUAGAUACUGUCCGCCUUGACAAUUACGUAUCGCUGUCUAUUAGAGAGACUUCCACACCCGAAUGUUUCGUCCCCUCUCAACACCUUUUUCUCGGCUCCUUUCUUUCUUAAUAUCAAAGUUGUCUUUUUUAUUAAUAGCCCACCAAUUGGAGGGAUAUUCUUAUUUGAUUGCGUAUAUACAUAUGGAUACCUUUGUUGCU